AUGAACGCUGGCGGUAUGCUUAACACAUGCAAGUCGAACGGACCUUCGGGUUAGUGGCGAACGGGUGAGUAAUACAUUGGUAUCUGCCUCAGAGUAGGGUAUAGCCCACCGAAAGGUGGGGUAAUCCCCUAUAGUUCCCGCAAGGGUAAAGCUUUUGCGCUCUGAGAGGAACCUCUGUCCUAUCAGCUUGUUGGUGAGGUAAUGGCUCACCAAGGCAACGACGGGUAGCUGGAUUGAGAGAUUGACCAGCCACACUGGGACUGAGACACGGCCCAGACUCCUACGGGAGGCAGCAGUGAGGAAUUUUCCACAAUGGGCGAAAGCCUGAUGGAGCAAUACCGCGUGAGGGAUGAAGGUUUUCGGAUUGUAAACCUCUUUUAAAUAGGAAGAUUAUGACGGUACUAUUUGAAUAAGCAUCGGCUAACUACGU
rnacentral:rRNA from 1 species